GAAUAGGCCGUUCCAAGAUGCUGUCAAAAUUAAAUCAAUAUGGCUACUGGAAGGCAAACAUUGAAUAUUAUUCUAUCAGGUUCUUAUGGUUUUAGAUCAUUUUAGUUGUUGUACAAAGAUUAAUUUAACAUUUUCUCUGGAAGUAUUAAUUUAGAAAGAUAAUAUGCCUCAUUGGUGUUGUGUUUUGAAGUGUGAAAUGCAAAGUAAUCGUGAUAAAGUUAGCUUUUACCACUUACCAUCAGUGCUACAUUCUAAGCACAAAACUGAACCAAUUUAACUAAAUAAGUUAUAGUUAUCAUCUGAGAGACAACAACAAUGGUAAAAUGCAAUAAAAUAUAAAGAUUUUACUAGCAAAAUGGAAAUUCCCCUGUAAUCAUCUUAUAUCUGGUAAGUUACAACAUUUGAACAUUAACGAUUUUUGAAGAUGUUAACAGUCUAAUCUUGUAGGAAAACCAGCCGACUUAACUGAUAAUAACAAUCCAGAUUGGGUUCCUUCAAUAAAUAUGGGGUAUAUAAACACAAUGAAAUGAGUUCCCCAAAAUCUAAAAUGGGAAUUAAGGUACCAAAGGAGAAUUAAAAGAAAAGGGUACCUACAAGAAAAAAUUGCUUUUUUAUUCCUCUUGAAAUGAUUUAUAAGACACUGGACUGUCUUAUAUUCUACAAAUACUAGAAUCAGCUGAGAGAAGUGGUCUACAAAAACCCAGGAAGGAAACGGAAUAUGUGGCUACGAAAGGCAAAAGAAAGGUUUACAAAGCAAAUGUGACACAUUUUUUUGAAAUAUUUAGGAAUAUCAGUAAAUUGCAUUAAAAAAAUGUAUGAAAAGAUUUUGUUCAAUAAAAAUGUUUAUAUUUA